GACGAACGCUGGCGGCGUGCUUAACACAUGCAAGUCGAACGGAAAGGCCCUGCUUUUGUGGGGUGCUCGAGUGGCGAACGGGUGAGUAACACGUGAGUAACCUGCCCUUGACUUUGGGAUAACUUCAGGAAACUGGGGCUAAUACCGGAUAGGAGCUCCUGCUGCAUGGUGGGGGUUGGAAAGUUUCGGCGGUUGGGGAUGGACUCGCGGCUUAUCGGCUUGUUGGUGGGGUAGUGGCUUACCAAGGCUUUGACGGGUAGCCGGCCUGGGAGGGUGACCGGCGACAUGGGGACUGAGAUACGGCCCAGAGUCCUACGGGAGGCAGCAGUGGGGAAUAUUGCACAAUGGGCGGAAGCCUGAUGCAGCAACGCCGCGGGCGGGAUGACGGCCUUCGGGUUGUAAACCGCUUUCGCCUGUGACGAAGCGUGAGUGACGGUAAUGGGUAAAGAAGCACCGGCUAACUACGUG
rnacentral:rRNA from 1 species